GAUUAACGCUGGCGGCGUGCAUAACACAUUCAAGUCGAACGAAGCGCUUGAAACGGAGACUUCGGUCAAAGAUUCUUGUGACUUAGUGGCGGACGGGUGAGUAACGCGUGAGCAACCUGCCUCUGUGUGGGGGACAACGACUGGAAACGGUCGCUAAUACCGCAUAAUAUAUUCUUAUCGCAUGGUUGGGAUAUCAAAGAUUUAUCGCACAGAGAUGGGCUCGCGUCUGAUUAGAUAGUUGGUGAGGUAACGGCUCACCAAGUCGACGAUCAGUAGCCGGACUGAGAGGUUGAACGGCCACAUUGGAACUGAGAUACGGUCCAGACUCCUACGGGAGGCAGCAGUGGGGAAUAUUGGGCAAUGGGCGAAAGCCUGACCCAGCGACGCCGCGUGAAGGAAGAAGGCCCUUCGGGUUGUAAACGUUCUGUUGUAAGGACGAACAAAUGACGGUACCUUACGAGGAAGCCACGGCUAACUACGUGCCAGCAG
rnacentral:rRNA from 1 species